rnacentral:rRNA from 1 species
UGAACGCUGGCGGCAUGUCUAAGGCAUGCAAGUCGAAUGCUGAGCUUGCUCAGCAUGGCAAACGGGAGAGUAACACAUUGGUAAUCUACCUUGAUCUUGGGGAUAAUCCGAAGAAAUUUGGAAUAAUACCCAAUAGUCAUGGGGGGACAUAAGUCAUUCCCAUGUAAAGUUCCGGCGGAUCAAGAGGAGCCUAUGGCCUAUCAGCUUGUUGGUAGGGUAACGGCCUACCAAGGCAAUGACGGGUAGGGGACCUGAGAGGGUGACCCCCCACAAUGGCACUGAAACACGGGCCAUACACCUACGGGUGGCAGCAGUAGGGAAUAUUGGACAAUGGGCGAAAGCCUGAUCCAGCAACGCCGCGUGCACGAUGACGGCCUUCGGGUUGUAAAGUGCUUUUAGAGGAGAUGAGAAAGGACAGUAUCCUCUGAAUAAGCCUCGGCGAACUACGUGCCAGCAGCCGCGGUAAAACGUAGGAGGCAAGCGUUAUCCGGAUUUAUUGGGCGUAAAGCGCGUGCAGGCGGUUUGACAAGUUGGAUGUGAAAGCUCCCGGCUUAACUGGGAGAGGUCGUUCAAAACUGUCAGACUAGAGAAUGGGAGAGGGAGGUGGAAUUCCGGGUGUAGUGGUGAAAUGCGUAGAUAUCCGGAGGAACACCAGUGGCGAAAGCGGCCUCCUAGACCAUUUCUGACGCUAAGACGCGAAAGCUAGGGUAGCAAACGGGAUUAGAGACCCCGGUAGUCCUAGCCGUAAACGAUGUAGACUUGGUGUUGGCGGAGUUAAAUCUGUCAGUACCGUAGCUAACGCGAUAAGUCUACCGCCUGGGGACUACGAUCGCAAGAUUAAAACUCAAAGGAAUUGACGGGGACCCGCACAAGCAGCGGAGCGUGUGGUUUAAUUCGAUGCUACACGAAGAACCUUACCAGGGUUUGACAUGUAAGUGGUAGUGAUCCGAAAGGUGAACGACCCCUCGGGGAGCUUACACAGGUGCUGCAUGGCUGUCGUCAGCUCGUGUCGUGAGAUGUUCGGUUAAGUCCGCUAACGAGCGCAACCCUCACUGUGUGUUAUAUGUGUCACACGGGACUGCCGGUUUUAAGCCGGAGGAAGGCGAGGAUGACGUCAAGUCAGCAUGGCCUUUAUAUCCUGGGCUACACACACGCUACAAUGGUCGGUACAAUAGGUUGCCAAGCCGCGAGGCGGAGCCAAUCCUCAAAGCCGGCCUCAGUUCAGAUUGUAGGCUGCAACUCGCCUGCAUGAAGCUGGAGUUGCUAGUAACCGCAGGUCAGCUAUACUGCGGUGAAUACGUUCCCGGGUCUUGUACACACCGCCCGUCA